AUGAGGACCAGAAGCUGGAGACCUGUGGGCAGGUGGCUCCCUCCUGCCGUGCCCAUAGAGUGUUACUGUGUACUGUGACCACAGUCUGGGGAAGACCAAUCCUGACCUGAGGCUGCCAACCAUUCUCAUUGAUGAAUUAUGAGGAUCUUGAUGGCGUCUGGUGGUUCUGCCCCUGAGGCAGGGGCGAUGGGAACGGAUGUUAGAAGCGGGGUGAAUAUGUACAUAAAACGGAUUUACGACACAUGCUGGAAACUAAAAGGCAUUUGCAGGAAUACAUGUCAAAAAGAAGAAAUUUUUCACAUUUUCUGUGGUACUCAGUCAUUGUGCUGCUUAGAGAAAAAGGAAAUGCCCGUUCUCUUCGUGAAGUAGCUGUGAGUAUUCCGGGGCCUCCUGCUGCCUCUCGACUCCUUUGUCCCCAGAGUGGUGCUACAGGGCUGGUGAACACACUGGAAGCAAGUUUGCAGCCGUUGUGCCAUCCAUCCUAUUAAAACAAUGGCUUCUGCC